GAUGAACGCUAGCGGGAGGCCUAAUACAUGCAAGUCGAGCGGUAGAGUGACUUCGGUUGCUUGAGAGCGGCGAACGGGUGAGUAACGCGUACACAAUCUACCUUUAAGAGGGGAAUAGCCCUGGGAAACUGGGAUUAAUGCCCCAUGGCAUCACGAGACGGCAUCGUUUUGUGAUUAAAGCUGAGGUGCUUAGAGAUGAGUGUGCGUCUGAUUAGCUAGUUGGUGCGGUAACGGCGCACCAAGGCGACGAUCAGUAGGGGGCGUGAGAGCGUGGACCCCCACACGGGUACUGAGACACGGACCCGACUCCUACGGGAGGCAGCAGUAAGGAAUAUUGGUCAAUAGGAGGAAACGUACUGAACCAGCCACUCCCGCCGUGCAGG
rnacentral:rRNA from 1 species